rnacentral:misc_RNA from 1 species
AAGUCGUAACAAGGUCUCCGUAGGUGAACCUGCGGAGGGAUCAUUCACAUGAUAUACUUUAAACAAACUGUGAACUUUAUAUAAAAUACUAUUCGUGUGUGUUUGUCGACUUGAUUGUCACUUUCAUACAUUGUCAUUCGAUUGAACAUAAGAUAGUUGGCUUGAAAUGUAAAUUUCUUUCUCAGCUUUGAUUUGAUAUUACUAAACAUUUUAUCACUUCAACCAUAAAACAUAGAAACAACUCUAUGCCCUGGAUAUCUUGGUUCUC